AUACUUACCUGCCAAGGGUCUUGGCCUACCAUGAUCACAAAUGUGGCUUUCCCAAGGCAACGUUCAUCUAUUGUAUUCCUGGUUUGCUGACCCCUGCAAUUUCUUCAAAUGUAGAAAAUCCAACUGCAAAAUUUGCUAUAGUUCUGUGUGUGUGUGUGU